UACUGAAAGACCCCCCCCCAGUCUUUAAAUAAUUAACUGCUCUUUUGUUGUGUAAGAGUACCCCUCCUCCCCUUGCAGUGAAAAGACCCUUCCCCCAGGGUUGAAUUCAAUGUAACUGCUCUUUUGCCUUUCUGUAACAGCUUGGCUACUAAGGCAUGACACUUAACUCCUGUUUAAACAAGAUACCCUCUCCUAAUAGCAGGGGCAUGGUCAUGUAGGCAAGGGGGCUGCAUGGUCACAUAGGUCACGUAGACAGGAUGCCUUUCUGCUGAGUAAUAAGGUCAAGCUUCCCCUCUUUGUUUCCCCUUCCCGCCUUUCUCUUCGCUCGAGGGGGUCUUCCAGGGCCAAUCCACUAACACCAAGUAUGCCUUUUUCAAAAGUUCAAACUGUCCACCAAUCAGUUGCGCCCCACCCAAAACUUGUUUGUACCUGUUUAUAAAAACCCGGCACCACCACAGCCGGGUGUGCUCAGCUAGCAGGAGCUGCUGACCACCCGCAGGCGCGCGCUGACCACCCGCAGGCGCCUGCGUAACAAUAAAGAACCUCUUGCUGAUUGCAUCCAGUGGCAGUGUUGGAUUCUUGGGUAAGGGGAUCCGCGGGUCUUUCAUUUGGAGGUCCCACCGAGAUCAUCGGACUCCUGCCCACGGAUCCAACUGACUCCCACCGGGAGGAGCAAGAAGAGAACCCCCUGGACCUAACACUCCCCACUCCAGAUCUUCCCACGCAUGUCUCAGACUAUGGUACUGACACAGCGAUACCAACUCCUCAAGCAAACAGAGCCCCGGACUAGCUCAAUGCAAGGGCAGGACAUGCAAGAACAAGACGAAUGGAUAUAAGAUUCUAUCCAUGAUCAAGAAAAAGGGGGGAAUGAAAGACCCCCCCCCCAGUCUUUAAAUAAUUAACUGCUCUUUUGUUGUGUAAGAGUACCCCUCCUCCCCUUGCAGUGAAAAGACCCUUCCCCCAGGGUUGAAUUCAAUGUAACUGCUCUUUUGCCUUUCUGUAACAGCUUGGCUACUAAGGCAUGACACUUAACUCCUGUUUAAACAAGAUACCCUCUCCUAAUAGCAGGGGCAUGGUCAUGUAGGCAAGGGGGCUGCAUGGUCACAUAGGUCACGUAGACAGGAUGCCUUUCUGCUGAGUAAUAAGGUCAAGCUUCCCCUCUUUGUUUCCCCUUCCCGCCUUUCUCUUCGCUCGAGGGGGUCUUCCAGGGCCAAUCCACUAACACCAAGUAUGCCUUUUUCAAAAGUUCAAACUGUCCACCAAUCAGUUGCGCCCCACCCAAAACUUGUUUGUACCUGUUUAUAAAAACCCGGCACCACCACAGCCGGGUGUGCUCAGCUAGCAGGAGCUGCUGACCACCCGCAGGCGCGCGCUGACCACCCGCAGGCGCCUGCGUAACAAUAAAGAACCUCUUGCUGAUUGCA